GAUGAACGCUGGCGGCGUGCCUAAUACAUGCAAGUCGAGCGAACGGACGAGAAGGUUUCUUCUCUGAUGGUAGCGGCGGACGUGUUAGUAACACGUGUAUAACCUACCUAUAAGACUGGAAUAAAUUCGUGAAACCGUAGCUAAUACCGGAUAAUAAUUUGAACCGCAUGGUUCAAAAGUUAAAGACGGUCUUGCUGUCGCUUAUAGAUUGAUCCGCGCGGCAUUAGCUAGUUGGUAAGGUAACGGCUUACCAAGUCAACGAUGCAUAGCCGACCUGAGAGGGUGAUCAGCCACACUGGAACUGAGACACGGUCCAGACUCCUACGGGAGGCAGCAGUAGGGAAUUUUCCGCAAUGGGCGAAAGCCUGACGGAGCAACGCCGCGUGAGUGAUGAAGGUCUUCGGAUCGUAAAAUUCUGUUAUUAGGGAAGAACAUAUGUGUAAGUAACUGUGAACAUCUUGACGGUACCUAAUCAGAAAGCAACGGCUAACUACGUG
rnacentral:rRNA from 1 species